rnacentral:rRNA from 1 species
GAUGAACGCUGGCGGCGUGCCUAAUACAUGCAAGUCGAGCGAACAGACGAGGAGCUUGCUCCUCUGACGUUAGCGGCGGACGGGUGAGUAACACGUGGAUAACCUACCUAUAAGACUGGGAUAACUUCGGGAAACCGGAGCUAAUACCGGAUAAUAUAUUGAACCGCAUGGUUCAAUAAUGAAAGACGGUUUUGCUGUCACUUAUAGAUUGAUCCGAGCCGCAUUAGCUAGUUGGUAAGGUAACGGCUUACCAAGGCAACGAUGCGUAGCCGACCUGAGAGGGUGAUCGGCCACACUGGAACUGAGACACGGUACAGACUCAUACGGGAGGCAGCAGUAGGGAAUCUUCCGCAAUGGGCGAAAGCCUGACGGAGAAACGCCGCGUGAGUGAUGAAGGUCUUCGGAUCGUAAGACUAUGUUAUUAGGGAAGAACAAAUGUGUAAGUAACUAUGCACGUCUUGACGGUACCUAAUCAGAAAGCCACGGCUAACUACGUG